AAACCUCUGCCAUGUUCGUCACGAGUUCAAAAUUGUUGACCCUAUAACAAUCCGCAGGGAAUCUCUCGAAACCAGCCGCGUGUACAUCCCAUGCCGCUUCUCUGAAGCGAAAUCGGCUCACACAACCUGGUUCCCCGAUUCCCACUUUGCAACGCGGGUUCAAACAUCAGGGCUCGAACGGCAUUGCGGUGGAGGUUUC
rnacentral:other from 1 species